rnacentral:rRNA from 1 species
UACGUAGGGUGCGAGCGUUGUCCGGAAUUACUGGGCGUAAAGGGUCCGUAGGCGGUGCGGUAAGUCGGGAGUGAAAUCUCUGGGCUUAACUCAGAGGCUGCUUCCGAAACUACCGUGCUAGAGUGCGAGAGAGGCAAGUGGAAUUGCGGGUGUAGCGGUGAAAUGCGUAGAUAUCCGCAGGAACAUCCGAGGCGAAAGCGGCUUCUGGAUCGCAACUGACGCUGAGGGACGAAAGCUAGGGGAGCAAACAGG